rnacentral:rRNA from 1 species
CGAGGAAUCUUGCGCAAUGGGGGAAACCCUGACGCAGCAACGCCGCGUGAGUGAGGAAGGCCUUCGGGUCGUAAAGCUCUGUCAGAUGGGAAGAAAUGGGUGGGGGUGAAUAUCGUCCACCCUUGUCGGCACCAUCAGAGGAAGCACCGGCUAACUCCGUGCCAGCAGCCGCGGUAAUACGGGGGGUGCAAGCGUUGUUCGGAAUCAUUGGGCGUAAAGCGCGCGCAGGCGGCUUGGUAAGUCAGAUGUGAAAGCCCUGGGCUUAACCCAGGAAGUGCAUUUGAUACUGCCUCGCUAGAGUACGGGAGAGGAAAGUGGAAUUCCUGGUGUAGAGGUGAAAUUCGUAGAUAUCAGGAGGAACACCGGUGGCGAAGGCGACUUUCUGGCCCGAUACUGACGCUCAGGCGCGAAAGCGUGGGGAGCAAACAG